AAAAACUUUGCUUCUCUCUCUUUUACUUGUGCAACAAAAUAGAGAAAACAUCUUCUUUCAUUUUUUUUUCCCUGAGAAAACUUCAAAUCUUUCUUUAUUGAGGAAAAACUAUAAAAAUUCUCCCAAUUGAAAACAUCAGUUUUGUUGCAGAGCUCUAACGUUUUGCUUGUUUCUGUUUCUUGACUGCAACUGCAGUGCAGAGUUACUGGUGUGUAUUUUUUUGCUGCUGUUAACCAAUCUUUGUUUCUUUUUUUGUCCAUAUAUAUGCAUUUUUAUGUCAAAGUCUGUAUCUUUUCUGGCUAUUUUUCUUAUAGAUACUGAUACCCUUUAGAUUUUCAAGCUUUUGAGAUCUGAAAUUUGAGGUAUGGACAAUUGGGUGUUCAAUAAAAAGAAGAAGAUCAAUUGUUUUUAACGAAGUUAAGAUGGGUUUGUUUUGGAUUGGUUGAUUGGUGUUGUAAAAUGUGUUAAAGGUUGAAGCUUUG
rnacentral:misc_RNA from 1 species